UCGUCAUUGGUGUCUAGCUGCUCACUC
rnacentral:piRNA from 1 species